AUGGAAUCACAGAAAGUGAAGGUUGAUGAAGAAGAGAUUCUGGAGGUUUCAGAGAGAGAAAGAAUUGAGACCAAGAUUUAUUGGUUCUUCCCCGAGAAGAAAUUCAGAGAGAGAGUUAAAAAAAAUUGGUUUCCUGCAGUCUUUAUGGUUGGAAUUAUAAUGCACAGUGCAAGAGCAAUUGGACGCAUCUUACAGCAGCUUGUGUAUCACAAAUGA